ensembl:snoRNA
UAAGCAGGUCACAAUGACAGUGCUUCAUUUUGGGUGAGUACUGUCAUUAUCCUGCUGAAAGAAAAGCCAUGUUGAUUAUUUCUGAUUUUGCCAUUCUGGGGGUAAAAUCAUGACACCUUUUAAAAAAAAAUA